CACGCCCUAAACGAUGUCUACUAGUUGUUGGGGUAGCAAUACCUCAGUGACGCAGCUAACGCGUGAAGUAGACCGCCUGGGGAGUACGGUCGCAAGAUUAAAACUCAAAGGAAUUGACGGGGGCCCGCACAAGCGGUGGAUUAUGUGGAUUAAUUCGAUGCAACGCGAAAAACCUUACCUGGCCUUGACAUGCCACUAACGAAGCAGAGAUGCAUUAGGUGCCCGAAAGGGAAAGUGGACACAGGUGC
rnacentral:rRNA from 2 species